rnacentral:rRNA from 1 species
UACGGGGGGAGCAAGCGUUGUUCGGAUUUACUGGGCGUAAAGGGCGCGUAGGCGGCCAGCACAAGUCAGUUGUGAAAUCUCCGAGCUUAACUCGGAAAGGUCAACUGAUACUGUGCGGCUAGAGUGCGGAAGGGGCAACUGGAAUUCUUGGUGUAGCGGUGAAAUGCGUAGAUAUCAAGAGGAACACCUGCGGCGAAGGCGGGUUGCUGGGCCGACACUGACGCUGAGGCACGAAAGCGUGGGGAGCGAUCCGG